GACGAACGCUGGCGGCGUGCUUAACACAUGCAAGUCGAACGGAAAGGCCCUGCUUUUGUGGGGUGCUCGAGUGGCGAACGGGUGAGUAACACGUGAGUAACCUGCCCUUGACUUUGGGAUAACUUCAGGAAACUGGGGCUAAUACCGGAUAGGAGCUCCUGCUGCAUGGUGGGGGUUGGAAAGUUUCGGCGGUUGGGGAUGGACUCGCGGCUUAUCAGCUUGUUGGUGGGGUAGUGGCUUACCAAGGCUUUGACGGGUAGCCGGCCUGGGAGGGUGACCGGCCACAUUGGGACUGAGAUACGGCCCAGACUCCUACGGGAGGCAGCAGUGGGGAAUAUUGCACAAUGGGCGGAAGCCUGAUGCAGCAACGCCGCGUGCGGGAUGACGGCCUUCGGGUUGUAAACCGCUUUCGCCUGUGACGAAGCGUGAGUGACGGUAAUGGGUAAAGAAGCGCCGGCUAACUACGUGC
rnacentral:rRNA from 1 species